GGUACAGGAAGAGGGCCACCAGGCAGCUGAGACCAAUGCUGGCAAUCCCGAAGAAGGACAGGAACACUGGGCAGGAGAACCUGGACUUUGCUGGGGGAAAGGAGGACGUGGAGAGAAGAACGACAGGAAGAGGAUUAGAGAUGGCUGUGAACACGUGGAGGAGGAUCAGGAGCUGUCCACUUCACCUGUGACUCUGUACCUCCGCUGGACAUCAAAAUCACCUGGGGGCUUCCAAUUAUCCUGAUGUCCAGGCCAGGCUUCAGACAAACUAGACCAGAACUGCUGGGGUGGGUCUGAAUCAUCAGUGCUCUUUAACUCUCUCAGGUGAUUCAAAUGUAGGGUCAAGGUUGAGAACCACUGCUCUACGCAGAUCAUGAUCAAUUAUAAUCAGCUCUAUGUCAUCUUCCAAUUCUCCACAUCUAUGGCCAAGUUCUAAAUUCAAACUGGCUGCUGGAUAUUCAGUUUUACACUGCUAUUCAAUGUGUGCUUAACACAAGUUAUUUUUAAUUAAAAAAAAAAAUAACAUAACCAGGCUGGUCAAACUGUGUCUUAAAAUAUAAACAUAAGUGACAUCUGCUUCUGGCCAAGAUGGAGUAACAAGAUGGAGUCCAUAUUUAUCUUCUCACUGGAACAAAAAUGUGAGAAAAUGCAUGAAACAAGGCAACCAAGGAUGAUCCCUGAGA